rnacentral:lncRNA from 1 species
CUUUAUUACUUACAUAGAAUAGGUAUAAAUCUUCUUUCCUAUUAGAUCCAAGGAGUAAGUAGACAGAAAUGAGUGGGGGUAACAGAAAGUGGGUAUUGUGCUUCUUCCUAGCUGUGUAACUCUAGGAAAGUGACACACUGCCUCUGAGAUCCAGUUUCCUCAUCUCUAAAACACAUUGUACAGGGUUAAAAUGAGAAUUAAAGGUGAUGUUUCCUUGCUUGCUUACCCCCUACAGGCUGUCACCUGCUUCCUCCCCUGCAGUGACCUCCUUUCAGGUAGUGGUGAUCUGAAGGCUCACUCUGCCUUGGACUCAGGUAUCUGUGGCACUCCCAAGGUCAAGGCCAAGAAGACCUCCUGGGCGGCCAACAGUCUGGCCAAGGCAUUCUCUGAAUUCGAGUAGAGUGUCAAGAGUCAAGAGAAGAUGGAUAUCAGGACUUUCAUCAAACCUAUAGGCCAGCUCCAGGGUGCGCUGGAAGGCUCUCUACAAGUGAGGAUUCACAACUGCUCGCCUCCCAGCCUCUGAAGGGUUCAAGAGGCUCAGCCAUUAUCAUCAUCCUUCUGGAUUUCACUCCCUGGUUUUCCCCCCAGAAAGGAGUGGAAAGUGCAAGCCACCUCCUGCAAAUGCUGGAGAAGCUGUAAAGUGGAUGG